UACGUAGGGAGCAAGCGUUGUCCGGAAUCAUUGGGCGUAAAGCGCGUGUAGGCGGCCCGAUAAGUCCGCUGUGAAAGUCCAGGGCUCAACCCUGGAAUGCCGGUGGAUACUGUCGGGCUCGAGUCCGGAAGAGGCGAGUGGAAUUCCUGGUGUAGCGGUGAAAUGCGCAGAUAUCAGGAGGAACACCAAUGGCGAAGGCAGCUCGCUGGGACGGUACUGACGCUGAGACGCGAAAGCGUGGGGAGCAAACAGG
rnacentral:rRNA from 1 species